rnacentral:lncRNA from 7 species
UAUUUGUAAUUUAGGAAUGCCUCAGGAAGGUAACCUUGAUGUGGAUGAUAUCGAUGCUGUUUUGAAAGGGAGAGACUUGGAUUUAUCUUUUCAAGUUCCAAUCUAAUUGAAGUGUGGUUGGAUAUUAACCAUCCUUAUAAUCAGAUGCAAAGAGGCAACAGGAAGUGUUGUACCUGAGGUGAUACAAGGAGUGUUACUGACCUAGAAACAAGUAGGCCCUUGGUCCUCGUGCUUAGAAGAGAGACUGGUAGUUAUGAAACACACUGGAAGGGAGGUAAGACCUGUGUCAAACGUAUUCACAAUGAGGGAGGUACUGUACAUAGGAGAGAGACAUAAACUCAUGAAAUUUGCUAGACAUGAGUGAAGCUCCUGAAGACCCAGAUGCUAUUUUUGUAUGAACAACAUGCAAUGUUUACAAUUAUACCAGAAGAAAGAGACUUGCUUCUAGAAGGUGGCUCUUUGGGCAGUGAUGAGAACUGCAGACUUGCAAGUGCAGCUCUGUAAGUUGGUCACAGGCAGCUAAGUCAGCUAAGUGUUCCAUUGAGGGUAAGUAGCACAGUGCAGCCUGGGAACUGAGCUAUUGCUGGCAUGAGGAUGCUGCUACAAGACUUUACUCAGAACCAUGACUUUACAAAUGAGCCAGCAUUAAAAUCCUUGACUGAAGAAAAAAAAAAAAAAUCAUUCUCCAUUUGCAUUUGCCAUCCCCAGGGAAAAAUAUGCAGAACAACCAAACUUGGCACACUGAACAGAAAUAUUUUUUACCAGUAGUUUUUUGCAAUACACUUUGGUCUGAAGGGACUCGCAUCAGUUGAGAUUCUAGUUCGGAGUAACUUUCAGGUUCAGGCGGAACUCAAAAUGCACAGCUCAAUUGUCACUGAAGUAAUCAACUGUUAAAGCUAUGUAACUUGUGAAAUGGAUUUUGCCAUACCUUCGUUGCUUUGAUACCUAAACCAAACCUUGCCUACAUGUUUUUUAGAUUCAUGUCAUUUUUGUUCAAAACCAAAACAAACCAGAACAGAUUUCAUUUGGUCAUGUUAUGAAACCUUAGAAUAAUUCCUCUGUUGGCCAAACCAUGCACAGCAUACCAUAGCAAUAAAAAUAAAUAAAUAAAUAAAUAAAUAAAUGUGGGGAGUGGGGAAGAAGUACAUAUUGCUGAUUUGUAUAUGUAUUUCAAACACAGUUUGCUACUCUUUUGAAAUACAGCACGGUGUGAAACAGGAAACAAUACUCACACUAUUGCUUUAUUUUGGCACUGACGUUAGUGUAACACUCCCAUCUACUUGAGCUGUACUGUCAUUAGCAAUGUAGCAUUUUCAUUGCCUUUCAGCAUCUGAUGAGCAACUGUUAUAGCAGUCCUAAAAUUGUGAUGAGAAAGUGAUCUAAGCUUCAGAUAGAAUUUCAAAAGGUAUCAUAGAAUCAUAGAAUCACAACAUUGCUCUUCUGUACCCGAGAGUGGCUGAAUUUUGGGUGAUGUAUAUUGUCUGUCUAGAAGUCAUUGUGGCCACUUUUUAAAGAGGGUAUCAAAAUGAUGAAAUACAAAUUUACUCCAGGGAUUAAAGAUUAAAACUAAUGGAACAUGAUUAGUAAAGUUAUCUUAUUAACGAUUCUCUACCCAGCCUCCACGUUUGAAGAAUUUCUUCAUGAAUGAGCAAACUGAGUGUACUUGUAGAAACUGACAAUAGGGAAGAGUUUCAGCUUUUGCAAGGAAACGCAGUAUCUCUGGUGACAACUGAAGAAUGCACUCUUCCAUACUCCUAGCACAGUCAAAUAGAAUCACUUACUCUGUUUUUCACUAGUUUAAAAUAUUUAAAUACAGGAAAAGGAUAUGAAAACAAGUAGAUAAAUAUAGAAUAGAGUUUCAUCUAUGCUGGCACCAGGCAAAGGUACGGUGCUCCAAGGACAGGUCUUGUAAAUUUAUAUAGCUUUUCUUUAUGUUUCAAAAGCAUGACUUGUGAUUUUGAUGCUCAACUGUAGUACCAGAGGUGGUACUGAAGUGCCUCAUGUCUUUCACAGUACCUACUACUCUGUAAAAUUUCUGACCAUU